rnacentral:rRNA from 1 species
GUGGGGAAUCUUGCGUAAUGGGCGAAAGCCUGACGCAGCCAUGCCGCGUGAAUGAUGAAGGUCUUAGGAUUGUAAAAUUCUUUCACCGGGGACGAUAAUGACGGUACCCGGAGAAGAAGCUCCGGCUAACUUCGUGCCAGCAGCCUCGGUAAUACGAAGGGGGCUAGCGUUGCUCGGAAUUACUGGGCGUAAAGGGCGCGUAGGCGGACAGCUUAGUCAGAGGUGAAAGCCCAGGGCUCAACCUUGGAAUUGCCUUUGAUACUGGCUGUCUUGAGUUUGGGAGAGGUGAGUGGAACUCCGAGUGUAGAGGUGAAAUUCGUAGAUAUUCGGAAGAACACCAGUGGCGAAGGCGACUCACUGGCCCAAUACUGACGCUGAGGCGCGAAAGCGUGGGGAGCAAACAGGAUUAGAUACCCCUGUAGUCC